AUACAGAGAAGAUUAGCAUGGCCCCUGAGCAAGGACGACAUGCAAAUUCAUAAAGCGUUCCCUUAAGAA
rnacentral:snRNA from 1 species